AUUUUUCUAGUAUAAUAAGUAUAACUAAUUUCCAAUUAGAAGGUUUGAACAAUCAAGAAAAAUA
rnacentral:tRNA from 1 species